rnacentral:lncRNA from 1 species
GGGAAAAAGAUCACCUUCCAUAACUUUUCUUACAGUAUAUUAUUAUACAUGUGCUACUUUAUUAUUGUUGUCAAUCUCUUGUGCUUAAUUUAUAAAUUAGGCUUUAUCAUAGUAUGUAUGUAUUGAAAAAACAUAGUAUAUAUAGGGUUUGGUACUAUUCAUGGUUUCAGGUAUGCACUCAGGGUCUUGAAAUGUAUCCCCCAUGAAUAAGGGGGUACUACUGUGUCUGUUCAUUCAUUAGAUGAGUUUAUCAAUGAACAGAUGUGUGUGUUCCACUAUGUUGCCUCAGAAACAAAUGAAUGGGGUUAGGUUGUUGAUCUGGUGAUUUUAAGGUGGAGGAAGGAAGAAGUUUAGAGUGAUAUACUCUAUGUAAUGAAAGUAUAGAAUAGCAAUUGAAGGAGAGAGAACUCGAUUAGGGGGUCCAUCAUUUCUAGGAGUUUAUGAUCUAUGGUCUCUCUUCCUCGCUUACACAGGAAGGCUGGAAAGAGGGGAGUGCUGAUGCUGGAAAGCUUAAAAAGAGAUUUGUGGAAAUUUCCUUUUCAAAUACGCUCUUCAAUAAGGCCUUUUCUUCAAUUAUGAAGUGAUGAGGUCACAGCCAGACACAGAGAAGAGGUGAUGGGAAGAUGAAGGCAGAAACUGGAGUGAUGUAGCCACAAGCCAAGGAAUCUGAGGAAUGCCAACAGACACCAGAAGCUUGGAGGCAAGGAAGUAUUCUCCCCUAGAGUCUCCAGAGGGAAUGCAGCCUGCUUAUGCCUGGAUUUCAGACUUCUAGCCGUUAGAACUAUGAUAGAACACGUUUAUUAUAUUUUACGCCAUUAAGUGUAUGGUGAUUUGUUAUAGCAGGCGUCUGGAAACUACACACAUGCCCGGUACAAUGCUUUCCCCGUAGUAGGCACUUAAUACAUACUUCAUAUUUAUGAUGAAAACUGCCUUGCUUCUUCGUAGAAACUUGAUUAAGCCUCCUUACAAAAUCUAAUCAAAUACAUAUUCUUAUACCUCCAUAUUAUUUCCCUCAAUACUAUGAUGUAUCCCUAAACUAUAAGACAUAUUAG